rnacentral:lncRNA from 1 species
GUGGUACGGGGGGAUCGCACCCCUUCGCACCCCUCCUCUGGCCUCUCCCACCGCCCCGCCGCGAAAGAACCGCCGGCGCUGUUCCGGCCGCGGCCCGCACCGGCCCCGCCGCCCGGGACGAGGCGCAGCCGCGGGGGGAUCUCCCGCGGGAAACCGCGCGGGGAGCCCGGCUCCGCCGCAGCCAUCGAGCGCCUCCAGCGCCGCGCCGGCGGCAGGGACAGCGCUGCCCGCGGCAGUCUCCGGCCGCCGCCACCUGUUACCUGCUGCCGCCUCCGCCCUGCCGGAGGCCAGCACUCGGCACCGGCCGCCCCGCCCGCCGCCCCGGCCCCCGCACGGCGCGGUGGGGCGGGGGAGCCGGCUCCGCCACAUCCGGGUGCCGCCGCUCUCAGCGCGCAUGAGCGGCCGCCCCGCCGCUGCCGGGCCGGGCGCCGCGGUAUCGCUGCCGCUCCUCCUCCUCCUCCCCGGGGCGCUGCGCUCCGCGUUGUCAGGCAAGGGGGAGCGACUGAGAGGCGGGGGAGGCGCCUUCCACGGCAGGAGGAGGAGGAGGAGGAGGAGGAUGGUUGUGGGGGCGGGCGGCGGCAGGCGCUGGCAGCAGCCGGGAGAAGCCCCGCUGGUGACUGGCUGGCGGCACACGCAGCUCUGGGGAGGAGGCGGAGGGUGCUGAGCCGAGCCGAGCCGCGGGGCGGGCGGCUGCUGCUGCCGCGGGGGGAGAGGCUGCGGCGGCGGCGGGAGGGCAGCGGCACACGCGCACACACACGCGCGCACGCACGCGGACACGGGUGGCAGCGCGGCUGCCACGAUGUGAGGGGGCUGUGCGGGGGCUCGGAGGCUCCGCGGAGAGGAGAGGCGAGGCAGCCCGCACAACCCCGGCGGCGGGAGGGGCGGCCGGGGCGGGGCCGGCUGGGCUCGGGGCGAACCGCGUUCCCCGGCGGGCAGGGCGCGGGGCGGCCGCGGGCGGCGAGCGUGGGACCGGCGGUGGCGGCGCUUGGUGUGUUGACCGGC